CGUUAGAAUCUUAUCUCUCCUGAAGUGGCCUUCUCCAUGGAGCUUUUGUAUGAUCUUCUUCUACAAAGAAUAAUUGAAAAUAUAAAGCUGUAUCCCUCGAAACAGAAAACCAUCCUGCACCUAAUAGUCAACUCGAUCAUCAGCCCGGACCUCCUAUAGAAUGGUAGCAAAGUCUAGAUCAUUGGUAUAGAGAUCCCUCAAAGUAUCAAAACCAACUAUCUCUACUUGAAGAACACCUAGAAGC
rnacentral:lncRNA from 1 species